GUCCCCUUCGUCUAGUGGUCCAGGACCCUGCCCUUUCACGGCAGUAACAGGGGUUCGAACCCCCUAGGGGACGCCA
rnacentral:tRNA from 2 species